rnacentral:rRNA from 1 species
AUUGAACGCUGGCGGAAUGCUUUACACAUGCAAGUCGAACGGCAGCACGGACUUCGGUCUGGUGGCGAGUGGCGAACGGGUGAGUAAUGUAUCGGAACGUGCCCAGUCGCGGGGGAUAACGUAGUGAAAAUUACGCUAAUACCGCAUACGAUCUAUGGAUGAAAGCGGGGGAUCGCGAGACCUCGCGCGAUUGGAGCGGCCGAUAUCAGAUUAGGUAGUUGGUGGGGUAAAGGCCCACCAAGCCAACGAUCUGUAGCUGGUCUGAGAGGACGACCAGCCACACUGGAACCGAGGCACGGUCCAGACUCCUACGGGAGGCAGCAGUGGGGAGUUUUGGACAAUGGGCGAAAGCCUGAUCCAGCCAUUCCGCGUGCAGGAUGAAGGCCCUCGGGUUGUAAACUGCUUUUGUACAGAACGAAAAGGUUUCUACUAAUACUAGGAGCUCAUGACGGUACUGUAAGAAUAAGCACCGGCUAACUACGUGCCAGCCGCCGCAGUAA